rnacentral:misc_RNA from 1 species
UCACAGUUUGCACUGGCAGUCUUGCUAGAGUUCCCGACAUGACUCGCUGGCAACUAACAACAGGGGUUGCGCUCGUUAUAGGACUUAACCUGACACCUCACGGCACGAGCUGACGACAACCAUGCAGCACCUUGUAAAUUGUCCGAAGAAAAAACUGUUUCCAGUCCUGUCAAUCUACAUUUAAGCCUUGGUAAGGUUUUGCGCGUUGUAUCGAAUUAAACCACAUGCUCCACCGCUUGUGCAGGCCCCCGUCAAUUCCUUUGAGUUUCGGUCUUGCGACCGUACUCCCCAGGCGGAGUGUUUCACGCGUUAGCUACGACACCUCCGGGGUCAAUACCGGAAACAUCUAGCAUCCAUCGUUUACGGCGUGGACUAC